AAAUUGAAGAGUUUGAUCAUGGCUCAGAUUGAACGCUGGCGGCAGGCCUAACACAUGCAAGUCGAACGGUAACAGAAAGCAGCUUGCUGCUUUGCUGACGAGUGGCGGACGGGUGAGUAAUGUCUGGGAAACUGCCUGAUGGAGGGGGAUAACUACUGGAAACGGUAGCUAAUA
rnacentral:rRNA from 1 species